CUCUCUAUACGGUGUAGUUCCCACAACCAGCUGUCACAGAGCCUUGGAUAAUGCUGUUUCACGAGUGCCGCCUUCUUCAUUCCUAGUGCUGUGUGGAAGGGUCCCAGGUGUUGACCCAUAACCCCUGAGAGGUGGCCAAAUGGCCCAGGACCCCUCCCGCCUGUGGCCUUUCCACUGAACUGAGUGCAUCCUGCUGCUGCUUCCACUGGGGAAGCCUCAAUGUCCUCUCAUUAAGGCAGCAAGGAAAGACACUCUGCCUUCCUGGUUUCCCACCAGCCAUUACCUGGAACUAUUCUUUGUUCUGCUGUAGAGCACAUUUUACUCAACUUUUUAAGGUCCUGUUAAAACCAAAUUGUUUUUCUAUUACGAGGUGACCUUUCGCGGGACCCGCCAGGGCCCAGAUUCCAGCAGUGCAGAGGGUUGGGAUGACUCCAGGCAGCAGGAAGCAGCAGCGACAAAGGACAGAGAAGGGCACUGAGUGAUCUGGAAAGACCGGGGGGGACUGGGGGUUUGGCUCAAAUAAUACAAAAGCGGCUUGUGAUCAAGUGUGCCAGUCUUGGUUUUGCUUCCCACUGGAGUGUCCACAACUGUGCUGAGGACAACUCAGGCCCAUGAGGUUUGCUCAAAUGGAGACUUUUAACAGUGGAAAACGCAGACACUGUCUGGACUGGAAGUGUAAUUCAGACUGUAUUUCAAGACGUCACAUCUUCAGGGAUCAAGAAAAAACAAUCACUCCUUAUUUGAACACAAUUAGGUAGGUGUGUUCUAUCAUCCUGGCCACAUUUUUAUAAACAAAUAUACUGCAAAUCUGAAAACAGUAAGGACGUCAGGAGUUAAAGUGCUAUAAUAUGUAACUAAACUAGAAGGAACUAAAUUACAAAUUUACUCCUGGGAGGCAUUUUAUUUCCUCUCAAGUUUCAAGCAAUAAACAUCUAUCAUUUAACAAACCAGCUGGUCAUAUCUGCCCUCCUUUACCAAGUCUUUAACCCUGCUCGACAUGAACAGCUAAGGACAAAAGGCAGAGAUCCUUUAUCCGGGUUAAAUCCACUCUGGGAAAGUGUUAAAACUUUCCACCAGUAAUUCUACCUUUAAAUCAUCAUGUUGUAGAUAGUUUUUUCUGUAAGGUGUUUUUAUAUUCAAUACCUUCACAGUAUGAAUGAGAUUCUAAGAUCAGUAAUAUGCCUAUGUGAUUAAAACCGAGCUGUGAAGUCAGUUUGACGCUUGAGAUCUGCUGUCACCACAGCCUACUUCUGGGGCAAAUGUCCCAAUUGUGAAAUUGAAGUUAUUGGGUCAGUUUUUAAACUCACUGUGUUCCCCUGCUUCUUCCCCACGACUCGAGCUCCAUCCAAAACAAUUAUCAAUCAGCAAAAUCAAGUUUUCACUCAUGGAAGGCACUGGCAUUCUUUUCUAACCAAGAUCAUUGAAAAACUUGACCACAGUUUCCAAGGAGUACAUAUAAAAAUAAUUGUAUUGGGUUAUUCCUGAAGAUUAACCAAGAACGCUAGCAAACCUCAACUGAGUUUUAUACAGUGGUGCAGCUGGAGUCCUGAAGCCCAUGCAUCAUACCAUCAGAGCAAAUGAUUGAUAAAAACAACAAAAAAAAAUUUAAAGACUGAUACUUCCUUGCACCAUCUAAAAUGAACAAAAUCCCACACUGAGGAAAGUAUUAUCCCAAGAUACUUUCCAUCAAAACAGACUGCUUAAGUAACUGUGGAUUUUAUUUCACCCUCCAGAGUUCAUGUCCACACCUAUUAUGUCUUAUGUUCUGACUAAACUGCAUUUGAUACAGAUGCAAAUAAUUUUAUGAAAGUAUGACUUCUUGUAGCAUAACUUCCUUCCAAGACAGUUAAUAUUCAAGCAAUACAAAAGGCCAAGUCUUUCUUCUUCACUUAAGAUCUUUUACAUCAACAGCUUCCAAAAGAAAAUUCCUCCAAUUUAAAAUACUUGAAAGUAGUUUACUAAAAGCAGACACUACUUUUUGUGGGGAAGAAUGGUUAACAUUCAGACUCAGGAUUCCAAAGUGUUUUGGCUUUUUCUUUUUCUUUUUUAAAGGGUGAAUUUUACAGGGAUCUCCUUAAGAGGUGACUUAGCCAGAAAACUUUCUGGAAGUAAUUACUUUUGUAAAUAUAAAUUCCACACUAAAAGCAUCAAUAUUUGUAACUCUUAAAAUUCUAGGAAAACAGAACGCACUAAGUUUUAUUGGUAAGAUACAAGUUAUGCAGCCAAGAUAUUAUCCCUGGCACCUGUAACUUUUUUUGUUUUUAAAGCCAAACAAAAAACCCAGCUUAAACUCUUCUAAAUAUUUUUAUAUGUGAAGUUACUCAAAGUAUUUUAUAUACAUGUGUUAAAUGAGGAAAAAAGAAUUUAUCAUUUCUUGUACUCUGGCAUGAGAACCAAAAACCUAAUAAAAUAAUUCAGAUUAAGCAAAACUUAAAACACACAUUUAAACAAAAUCAAAACAAGAUGCCAGAAAUUACAACGAAAACUAAAGCAACAUAUCUUUAAUUCAAAACUAAAAAACUGGUCAGUUAAUAUGGAAAUAAUUAUAUAUCUAUUGAAACCAAGAACAAUUUCAUGUAGAACAUUCAGGUAAUUGGCAGAAAAAAAAAUCCUGUUUUAAUGACCAAGAAUGACUCCCAAUACCCGACAUCAUCACUUUCAGUAUGUAAUGGUAAAAGGGGGGCAAAAAAAAUCACCUUUUCCCACAGGGAAGAGAGUGGUGGGAGUGUAGGUGAGCUAAAGAUGCCCAUCUAUGCUCACACAGACACAAAAAAAAUAAACACACUCUUGUGACGAGUGUGGCAAAUCUAAGGACUGUCAACUACAUAAAAGACAGAACCAUCAGAAGUUCCAGGAAAUUAGUAAAGUCAUGGUCAGUAUACAAAUUAGGAAAACCAGGGAUGAGCAGCUUUGAAGUAAUGUGCAUCUUGGCUGAAAUAUUUCAACUGUGAUAAUCACAGAAACAUCAGUCAUGUACUGUGUACCUGCAACAGUGGCUCAACCUGUUAGGUCUACGUAUUACCUGCAACACUUAAGCAGAAGUGCCGGCUCCAACCAUAUUUUUGUCUAAAUUAGCACCCUCGGGCUUGGGACCAGGAAUGUAUAGUUUGGGAAGGCUGCAUGGUGAGUUUAAUAUGUGCAAAAUGUGAACUUCUAAUCACUGGUCAACCAAAACAAAUCCUCCUUCUAAAGGAAGAAAAUAAAACCCCCGAAAGUCAGCAGGACUCUUUAAACCAAAUUUAUGUAGUUAACGAGGAUUAGGAAACAAGGAAUCCUCAGAAAUGCUUUUCAGGGUAAUUAA